UUGUGAAACAAAAUUGUUCUUUGAAGACAGCUAGCUUUUUCACUUUGUGUGCUAGAGGGCUACCUAGCUUUUGCUUCUUCGUCCCUGGACUAGACAGAAGACCCGACUGUCCCAGAGGAAUCAAACACCACACAAAGGUCCCCUAGAGGGUGCAUUUUUACAUACCUGAAAUGGGAUAGAAGAUUACAACACAGAUCAGUUCCUUGUACUGUCAGAAUCUCAUGCAACACAAAUCUGAUCACUCACAUUACUUUCAUGAAUAUCACUGGAUACUUAUUGAGUGUUCUGCUCAUGUGAAUGACAAAGAAACGUCACAAUCUCUGUCCACUUGGAAUUUAUAAGUCUACAACAACCAUAUGAAAAAAAAAAAAGCUCAACAUCACUGAUCAUUAGAGAAAUGCAAAUCAAAACCAUAAUGAGGGCUGGGUUCAGUAGCUCAUGCCUGUAAUCCGAGCACUUUGGGAGGCCAAGGCGCGUGAAUCACUUGAGGUGAGGAGUUUGAGACCAGCCUGGCAAACAUGGCGAAAUACCAUCUCUACUAAAAAUAGAAAAAUUAGCCAGGCAUGGUGGUGUGUGCCUGUAAUCCCAGCUAUUAAGGAGGCUGAGGCAGGAGAAUUGUUUGAACCCGGGAGGCAGAUGCUGCAGUGAGCCAAGACUGUGUCACCGCACCCCAGUCUGGGUGACAGAGUGAGACUCCGUCUCAAAAAAAAAACAAAAAACCCAAAACCCACAAUGAGAUACUAUCUCGCACCACUCAGAAUGGCUAUCAUUUAAAAGUCAAAAAAUAACGGAUGCUGGCAAAGUUGAGCAAAAAAACAAAUGCUUGGCCAAGCACGGUGGCUCACGCCUGUAAUGCCAACUCUUUGGCAGGCCGAGGCAGGCAGAUCACCUGAGGCCAGGAGUUCGAGACCAGCCUGGCCAACAUGGUGAAACCCUAUCUCUACUCAAAUUACAAAAAAAAAAAAAAAAAAUUAGCUAGGCGUGGUGGCACAUGUUUGAAAACCCAGCUGCUUGGGAGGCUGAGGCCUGAGAAUCACCUGAAUCCAGGAGGUGGAGGCUGCAGUGAGCUGAGAUCAUACCACGGCACUCCAGCCUGGGCAACAGAGCAAGACUCCAUCUCAAAAAAAGAAAAAAAAAAAAACAAACAGGAACACUUAUAUACUGUUGGUGGGAGGGUAAAUUAGUUCAACCACUUUGGAAGACAGUGUGGGGAUUCCUCAAAGACGUAAAAACAGAAAUACCAUUUGACCCAGGAAUUCCAUUACUAGGUAUAUACCCAAAGGAAUAUGAAUCUUUCUAUUAUAAAGACAAAUGCACAUGUAUGUUCAUUGCAGCACUAUUCACAACUGAAACAAUAGCAAAGACAUG
rnacentral:lncRNA from 10 species